GCGGUAGCACAGAGAGCUUGCUCUCGGGUGACGAGCGGCGGACGGGUGAGUAAUGUCUGGGAAACUGCCUGAUGGAGGGGGAUAACUACUGGAAACGGUAGCUAAUACCGCAUAACGUCGCAAGACCAAAGUGGGGGACCUUCGGGCCUCAUGCCAUCAGAUGUGCCCAGAUGGGAUUAGCUAGUAGGUGGGGUAACGGCUCACCUAGGCGACGAUCCCUAGCUGGUCUGAGAGGAUGACCAGCCACACUGGAACUGAGACACGGUCCAGACUCCUACGGGAGGCAGCAGUGGGGAAUAUUGCACAAUGGGCGCAAGCCUGAUGCAGCCAUGCCGCGUGUAUGAAGAAGGCCUUCGGGUUGUAAAGUACUUUCAGCGGGGAGGAAGGCGAUAAGGUUAAUAACCUUGUCGAUUGACGUUACCCGCAGAAGAAGCACCGGCUAACUCCGUGCCAGCAGCCGCGGUAAUACGGAGGGUGCAAGCGUUAAUCGGAAUUACUGGGCGUAAAGCGCACGCAGGCGGUCUGUCAAGUCGGAUGUGAAAUCCCCGGGCUCAACCUGGGAACUGCAUUCGAAACUGGCAGGCUAGAGUCUUGUAGAGGGGGGUAGAAUUCCAGGUGUAGCGGUGAAAUGCGUAGAGAUCUGGAGGAAUACCGGUGGCGAAGGCGGCCCCCUGGACAAAGACUGACGCUCAGGUGCGAAAGCGUGGGGAGCAAACAGGAUUAGAUACCCUGGUAGUCCACGCCGUAAACGAUGUCGAUUUGGAGGUUGUGCCCUUGAGGCGUGGCUUCCGGAGCUAACGCGUUAAAUCGACCGCCUGGGGAGUACGGCCGCAAGGUUAAAACUCAAAUGAAUUGACGGGGGCCCGCACAAGCGGUGGAGCAUGUGGUUUAAUUCGAUGCAACGCGAAGAACCUUACCUGGUCUUGACAUCCACAGAACUUAGCAGAGAUGCUUUGGUGCCUUCGGGAACUGUGAGACAGGUGCUGCAUGGCUGUCGUCAGCUCGUGUUGUGAAAUGUUGGGUUAAGUCCCGCAACGAGCGCAACCCUUAUCCUUUGUUGCCAGCGGUUAGGCCGGGAACUCAAAGGAGACUGCCAGUGAUAAACUGGAGGAAGGUGGGGAUGACGUCAAGUCAUCAUGGCCCUUACGACCAGGGCUACACACGUGCUACAAUGGCAUAUACAAAGAGAAGCGACCUCGCGAGAGCAAGCGGACCUCAUAAAGUAUGUCGUAGUCCGGAUUGGAGUCUGCAACUCGACUCCAUGAAGUCGGAAUCGCUAGUAAUCGUAGAUCAGAAUGCUACGGUGAAUACGUUCCCGGGCCUUGUACACACCGCCCGUCACACCAUGGGAGUGGGUUGCAAAAGAAGUAGGUAGCUUAACCUUCGGGAGGGCGCUUACCACUUUGUGAUUCAUGACUGGGG
rnacentral:rRNA from 2 species